UUAAAUCCCUAAUUCAUUCUUCCAACGGCAAUCAUGGAGAAAAUUAAUCAAGGUGGAGCGGUGAGGGGGACUUCUUCUACGGCGAGGCUAUGGCAACUCGGUGACGGUGCAUCUUCAUGGUCGUUGCCACCUCUUCUUUGCGGCAGCGACGAUGGUGGCUAAGACUCAGGCAUGGGAUCUCACCCGAGAGCAAGGUGACUUAGGUUUGAGAUGCAAAGGGAGCGUUAGUAGCGAUUCCUCACCAAUGAAGAGGUGGUGAUGCCUUAUUGGUGGCGGCACCGUUAUAGAUCCUCCAGAAACCCCUGGCUUAACAGUACGUAGAGUUGGAGCUGUCUUGGCUUUUGCUUCUGGUCUUGCAAACACUAGCUUCAUGUUCUUGCUCUAUCAUCUUUAAUUCUAAAUGAUAAUUAUGGACUUGGAACUCUUCUGUUUCUUGACAAUCCUGCCUAUGCAGUGUUGGUUCCUACCAAAUGGCUAAGAUUGCUGUCACCCCAACAAUUGUUCCUGCAGAGUUCGUACCCUUUAGAAAACAAUUUCCUUUAGAAAGGUUUUAGCUUUGGUUGUGGUAUCAGCAGGUGUAGCAGUUGCAACACUAUUGCUCUCUGUGUGUGUAUGCCAACCAUCUCAUAUUCUUGUGCUUCAUAUGAUUGACCACAAAAUGUGUUCAACACACUUGACAUACCCAUCAAUGCAUUGAAACCAGUGACACUAACAAAUGAAGUAGCCAAAGCAGCAGAAGCAAGAAGCAACUCGUAUAAAUGGCCAACAAACAUGAGAGAUAUCAUUUGUAAGCUGUAUUGAAACAAAGACACACAAACCAUUGGCCGUACAAGCCAUAGCUGUUUCUCUGCUUCAUCUCCAAUCUCUUUUCUCCAUAAUAUUACCCCUUAUUAUUCCUUUCUAUUUUC